AACAAAUAACAAUAUAAUUUUAUAUUGUAAUAAAUAUCAUACUGAUUAUUAAUAUUGAUGUUUUUAUGUCAAAUCAGUAUGAACAGGAUAUCUUAUCAGCUGUAGCCAUGAUUUGUCCCACUAUUUUUGUCCAUAUAGUUUAUAAACAUUAAUAUUUCCUUAAAGUUUAAUGGGAGAUUUUUCCUUUUAAGUGAGAUUUGAUGAAAGUAGAUGGUUAGUUGUGGUAGAAAAU